rnacentral:rRNA from 1 species
ACGUAGGGUGCGAGCGUUGUCCGGAAUUACUGGGCGUAAAGAGCUCGUAGGUGGUUUGUCGCGUUGUUCGUGAAAUCUCACGGCUUAACUGUGAGCGUGCGGGCGAUACGGGCAGACUGGAGUACUGCAGGGGAGACUGGAAUUCCUGGUGUAGCGGUGGAAUGCGCAGAUAUCAGGAGGAACACCGGUGGCGAAGGCGGGUCUCUGGGCAGUAACUGACGCUGAGGAGCGAAAGCGUGGGGAGCGAACAGGAUUAGAUACCCUGGUAGUCCACGCCGUAAACGGUGGGUACUAGGUGUGGGUUUCCUUCCUUGGGAUCCGUGCCGUAGCUAACGCAUUAAGUACCCCGCCUGGGGAGUACGGCCGCAAGGCUA